GCAGUCGAGGGGUAUUGUUCUUCGGAAUGAGAGACCGGCGCACGGGUGCGUAACGCGUAUGCAAUCUACCUUUCACAGAGGGAUAGCCCAGAGAAAUUUGGAUUAAUACUUCAUAGUAUAGUGAUACCGCAUGGUACUACUAUUAAAGUCACAACGGUGAAAGAUGAGCAUGCGUCCCAUUAGCUAGUUGGUAAGGUAACGGCUUACCAAGGCGACGAUGGGUAGGGGUCCUGAGAGGGAGAUCCCCCACACUGGUACUGAGACACGGACCAGACUCCUACGGGAGGCAGCAGUGAGGAAUAUUGGUCAAUGGGCGCAAGCCUGAACCAGCCAUGCCGCGUGCAGGAUGACGGUCCUAUGGAUUGUAAACUGCUUUUGUACGGGAAGAAACAGCGAUUCGUGAAUCGCCUUGACGGUACCGUAAGAAUAAGGAUCGGCUAACUCCGUGCCAGCAGCCGCGGUAAUACGGAGGAUCCAAGCGUUAUCCGGAAUCAUUGGGUUUAAAGGGUCCGUAGGCGGUUUGGUAAGUCAGUGGUGAAAGCCCAUCGCUCAACGGUGGAACGGCCAUUGAUACUGCCAGACUUGAAUUAUUAGGAAGUAACUAGAAUAUGUAGUGUAGCGGUGAAAUGCUUAGAGAUUACAUGGAAUACCAAUUGCGAAGGCAGGUUACUACUAAUGGAUUGACGCUGAUGGACGAAAGCGUGGGUAGCGAACAGGAUUAGAUACCCUGGUAGUCCACGCCGUAAACGAUGGAUACU
rnacentral:rRNA from 1 species